AGCAAAAAACCUGAAAGAGCUGCAACAAAAAGGAAUUCUUGAGUAAGCCGCGUGAGAAGGAGCCUCGGUGUUCUGUCAUCAUUGCUGCUGGUCAGCUAAGCGCCGGGACACAUGACCACUACGACUUAUUGAAGAUUUCACGUGAGAGUUAGCUACCGUGAGGGGCCUGGGGCAAUGCUUAUCACAAGGACCUGAGAUCAAUUCCAGGACUCACUCAACAACUCAGGCAUGGAGGAACAUGUUUGAAACCCCAGACCUAGAGAAGAAGUGAAGACCAGCAGAUCCCUGGAGUUCCCUGGCCAGAGCCUAUCCUGUUUAGUGAGCUCCCAGAGCUCCAGGCCAGGGAGAGAUCCUGCUUCAUUCAAAGAGAACAGGGUCGACGACAGUUGAGGAAUGACAGUUGAGGUUGACUUUUAAUCUCCACAUACAUAUGCACACACACACACCCACACACACACACACACACACACCACACACACUGAAGCAUAACCCCAAUUGCUACAAGUCCCUGCCUAGGAGGAGCCACACGGUUGAGAGGGCAUCCCCCGCACACACGCUCCAUGAGGGGGCUUCCUGCCCUCUGAGCCUGACCAACCACACUAUAGAAAUCCUCACUACCAGCUUGUGACUCCCCUGAACUAUUUACCCAGGCAUUCGUCCUGAGACAGCAAGGAGCAGGCAGACAGGCUAGCCAGGCACAGCCGUGCACAUUCACAGGCUUGGAACCAGGCUCCUCGGAAAGACCAUCUGCUUGCAAGUGUGAGGACAGACAAGACAUUUAAGUUUUACCAGCUCUCAGUUACAGGACUGACAUAGAGAAGUGGCUGCAAUUCUUUUUUAUCAGCUAGGAGAACAGAUUUUAAUAAGAAAAUAUUAGCCAGCGCCCAGAUGCCUGGAACCUACAAGUUUGGAAGCCGCAACUGAAAUCUGAACUUGGGGCAGGGGCCUCAGAUAGAGUGGGCGGGGCCUCUUUUUUUCCGAGGGGGGCUGCUCUCCUCCACUCUUAUUUAUCGUUUCAGUCAGUCACUUUAUUCAUCUGUCUGUUCGUCGGUGUCAACCUAUUUUUUAAAAAUUUUUAAUUCUUAUUUAUAGACUGACCUUAAUAAACUCUCCACAAGUA